GACGAACGCUGGCGGCGUGCUUAACACAUGCAAGUCGAGCGGUAAGGCCCUUUCGGGGGUACACGAGCGGCGAACGGGUGAGUAACACGUGGGUGACCUGCCCUCAGCUCUGGGAUAAGCCUGGGAAACCGGGUCUAAUACUGGAUAUGACUCCAUGACGCAUGUUGUGGGGUGGAAAGCCUUGUGCGGCUGAGGAUGGGCCCGCGGCCUAUCAGCUUGUUGGUGGGGUGANGGCCUACCAAGGCGACGACGGGUAGCCGGCCUGAGAGGGCGACCGGCCACACUGGGACUGAGACACGGCCCAGACUCCUACGGGAGGCAGCAGUGGGGAAUCUUGCGCAAUGGGCGAAAGCCUGACGCAGCGACGCCGCGUA
rnacentral:rRNA from 1 species